UAGGGAAUCUUCCACAAUGGACGCAAGUCUGAUGGAGCAACGCCGCGUGAGUGAAGAAGGUUUUCGGAUCGUAAAGCUCUGUUGUUGGUGAAGAAGGAUAGAGGUAGUAACUGGCCUUUAUUUGACGGUAAUCAACCAGAAAGUCACGGCUAACUACGUGCCAGCAGCCGCGGUAAUACGUAGGUGGCAAGCGUUGUCCGGAUUUAUUGGGCGUAAAGCGAGCGCAGGCGGAAGAAUAAGUCUGAUGUGAAAGCCCUCGGCUUAACCGAGGAACUGCAUCGGAAACUGUUUUCCUUGAGUGCAGAAGAGGAGAGUGGAAUUCCAUGUGUAGCGGUGGAAUGCGUAGAUAUAUGGAAGAACACCAGUGGCGAAGGCGACUCUCUGGUCUGCAACUGACGCUGAGGCUCGAAAGCAUGGGUAGCGAACAGG
rnacentral:rRNA from 1 species